ACGUAGGGGGCAAGCGUUGUCCGGAAUUACUGGGCGUAAAGCGCACGCAGGCGGUUCGUUAAGUCGGAUGUGAAAGCCCGCGGCUCAACCCCGGAUUGCCUUUUGAUACUGGUGGACUGGAGUUUGGUUGAGGUAGGUGGAAUGCCCGGUGUAGCGGUGAAAUGCGUAGAUAUCGGGAGGAACACCAGUGGCGAAGGCGGCUUCCUGGCCGACAACUGACGCUCAUGUGCGAAAGCUGGGGGAGCAAACGG
rnacentral:rRNA from 1 species